rnacentral:piRNA from 1 species
UGGAACUCCCUNUGUAGACCAGGCUGCCC